GUCCACGCCGUAAACUAUGAGAACUAGCCGUUGGAGCCCUUGAGGCUUUGGUGGCGAAGCUAACGCGAUAAGUUCUCCGCCUGGGGAGUACGGCCGCAAGGUUAAAACUCAAAUGAAUUGACGGGGGCCCGCACAAGCGGUGGAGCAUGUUGUUUAAUUCGAUGCAACGCGAAGAACCUUACCACCCCUUGACAUCCUCAGAACCUUCCAGAGAUGGAGGGGUGCCUUCGGGAACUGAGAGACAGGUGCUGCAUGGCUGUCGU
rnacentral:rRNA from 1 species